UUAAUAACCUGUAAAAGAGCUGAAUCUGGAGAUCUGAGUGAAAUGGCACUUUUAGAGUUGUACUUUUAACCUCACCAUUCUGAGGAAAGUGCAAAAGCUCUGUAUAUGUGUAUGAGAGGAAUUCAUGCCAUGCAGAUGAGUUUGCAGACUCGGUGACAAAGGGGACCACAGGUGAGUCCCCAGCGAUCUACUUUGCCAAGAGGAUUUUUCCAGCCCCUAAUCACAGAAAAGUAUCCAGCCCUCCAUCUGCUCCCUAGAGUUGGCGGUUCUCAUCUGUUUCAAGUGAAAAUAACCAAGAAUAGAAAACGGCACGUAAUAAAGAAUCCCCAGCCAAGUAGCCGCGUUGUCCUGCAUUCCCCCCAAACCAGCACUCCCCGCUGCUGGGGUCUCGGUCUCCGGGCGAGAGAAGGAGCUGCAAAGGGUUAAGCCGCUGACUUGCUUGCUAGGCAAAGUUUGAGGAAGAAUAUGUCUGAGGCUGGAUACGCUGCAGCCCCGCGUUUGAAAUCUGUCACCCUCACUUAGGAGCGCUGCAUCUCUGGUUGUCACCGGUGAAUAAUGAUCGCACGGCGAUAAGAUCGCUCGGCGGCGGUGCGCCGGGGCCGCCCGGGGGAAGAGAAGACAGGAAAUUACGAGGCAUUUAGCCGCUUCAACGGGGUGUUCUUCAGUGUCAUCGGUGGGUGUCAGGGUCAAAUGACCGACUGGAGAGCAAUUUGGGAAGAUAAUUUCUUUCUCUCCUUCCUUGAGAGAAACCUUGGCUGUUGGUGACCGUUGGCAGCUAUGGAAAACAGAGACCUCGGUGGUGAUCCUUAAAACAGUAUCAUGCCGGAGCCCAGCUGUUCUGCCACUUUCUCCCCUUUCAACCUGCCGGACCCGGUGGGCUUUGGGUGACCUACCGAGAAGAAACCCACUUCCGCAGGAGCAGAGGAAAGAGACAAAAAAACCCAACAACAACAACAACAAAAAAAACAAUCUCAAAGACAGAAACCCCAAGACCCCGCGUAGCCGCAGUCCCCUCUCGUUUAUUUUUUCACCGGAGAAGGAGGAUCGGCGGGGGAAAGAGAGAGCGAAUCGAGGAGAGAAAGUGCGUUGGGAAUGCCAGAGCCGCGGGCUGCGCGCCGGAGGAGGAGGUGGCGGAGCAGGGGGUAGGACCAUGCCGCCGCCUCGUAAGGGCGGAGGAAGGCGCGGGAGGCGCGGGGGUCGCUCGGAGCGGCGGCGGCCGGCGGGGAACGGGCCCGCGGGGCCGGCCGGGAGCGGCGCCGGGCGGAGGGCGGCGGCGGCCACCACCGAGGAGCGGCGGCGGCAAAGUUUUGGUGUGGGGGGCCAGAGGCGCGCAGGGGGAUUACGAUCGGUGCCGGCGAGGGAUUCCCAGACGCCGCCAGGAUGGUUUUCUGCUUCACUGGAACAGAGGAGGGCAAUAUCUCCCAAGAGACUCAAAAGCCUUGAAGGUAGCUGCUGCCAGGGUAGGUUAGUUUGAGCAUAUGUUUGGAUAGAGCAUGUAGCAGCAUCUCUCAGGAUGUAUGGUAUUAGGAAAUGCAGUUUAUUUUGAUUCAAACAGGAAGGAAAGAAUUUCUAAAAUAAUACUUUACAGUAAACAAAUUCAACUGCUGUGGGCUGAACUCAUAUGAGUCAAUAAGUCUUAUCCAUUGGAAUAACUGUAACUUUUAUUUUUUGUCCUUUACUGCUUCACAGCACUUUUUGAGUUAAGGUCAGCUAUUUGCUGAAACAGUCAGAGAUGUCUAGAUAGAUUUGGAGUGAAAUGUCUGAUAAAUUCUUGCCAAAUCCAAACUGAAGGCAUAUGGGAGUGGUGGUGAUGAUGGGUGAAGCCUCAGAUGACUUCUCCCCUUCAUAUUUAUUCUAAUCCUCAGUGCCACUUUGUUGUCUAAGCUGUGUAUUCUGCAUAACAAAACACAGAUGCAGUAGCCCAAAGCCAGUGGUGGAGUAAAAAGGGAUUUUCACUGUAAGAAAAUUUUCUUUGUGUAGUCAAAGCAACAUCUGCAGUUACUCAAGUUCUAAAAAUCCUUUUUUCCAGGCUGCUGUCCAUCUCUCCAUAAAGCAGAGGAUUUUGAUAUUUUUCCUCAUCUGCUCUGUUUCCACAUAUGCAUGUGCACAUCCAAUGUAUGCAAUGAAACAGGAAGGUGCAAGCCCAUGCCUGCUGUUAUGCAUGUAGCAAUAGCAAUAUUUCCAUGGCCAUCAAAGUUGAUUUGCUUUUUAGUUCCCUUGUUUUAUAGCACCCUAAAAAAAAGGAACAUGUAGAGAUCAGAAUGGAUGACCAGAGGUAAAAUUGCUGAAAAUACCAUGGGUUGCAUGUAAAUCUAACACUGCCUUUAUACCCUACAUCAAUGGGUUACACAGACUAUAUGCCUUAUUAGCAGAAGUCUAAGUAAAGAAUCUGUGCGUUUAGUAUGUAAAAUUUUGGUGUAGACAUAAAUCAAAAUCCAAGAUUUCCCAUACUUACAGAGAUACUUGUAUUAAGGGACCUACCUCAGUCUUUAGUCCAUAGAAAAACCCAUCAGCAAGCCCCCAAAUCCCAUAGCAGACAUUUAUAUGAAGAUCAUUUAAAGUACCCAGAGGUCUGCAUAGAAAACAUGAGUGUCUUCUUAUUUGAUUCACGCAGUGACCUGAAUAAAUAGAGUGCUCGCAAACAGAAGAAAACAAUAAUUGCAUUUUUGAGCAGGCAUAUUUUGUUGCCUGUAGAACAGCUUAAAACUCCAUCUCACUUUUUCUUUACAUAUUUUUCCCUCUGGCCCUCUCUCAGGUUUUGUUGUGCACUGCCUCUCUGCCUUCCUGAACUCACUUGAGAUGUCUAGUUUUGUAUAAGCUCAAAAUGCUGAUAAUACUUUUGUGAUUCCUUGCAAUAACAACUGUGCUGAAAAGUAGCACAAGGACACAUAUUGAUAAAGACUCUGCUGCCUGGAAUGAUUUGGCAUAUGUCAGAUGGAAUCUGCAUUUGAGCUGAAGGCAACUCCAGGCUUCUGCACCUCUUAGGACUCACUUAAAAACUACUGAGAGGGUUUAAGUGGUUUGCGAGUCUCUUGUUGGCUGUCUGCACAUGGCUAAAGAUCACCCACCGUGAAGCAUUAAUGGCAGAGGACUAUGGUUUUUGCUUUACUAUUGGUAGGUGUCAUUUGUGGGCCUCCUGGCAAUUUUGAUUGACUGAUGCAACCACACACAGACCUCAAAGGUAUAAGGGGAGAAGUGGAAAAACAAAGUAGAAUUGCAUUCUGUGUUCUUUUCCAUCUUUGUCAGGAUUAGUUCAACAUUAAGGCUUUGAACUUCACAGUUGAAAUAAGCUUAGGCAAGCUCUUUCAAAAAUGUUUUAGAGCAUUUAUUGAGAAAAUAUAAUGACAGAAAAUUCAGGACAGAGUACCAGGGCUUUAUUCUGCUCUGAGCUGCUUCUUCAUAAAUGCACAAAGAUGGCAGUCUCUCUCUUGUGUAUGUAUUCUGUACAUUGUGGAGAAAAUUAGACCUAUAGCCAUUAUUGUAUCCUCUUUUCCCUGUUCAUGGUCAGAGGGCUUGUGAUUCGGUAUAUCAGGGGAAACUCUUCACAGAAUAUUCAGUCCUACAGUCAUCAUGAUGGGGCAAAAGAAAAAUUGGCUGGAGCAACACAUUUCCAGCUUCUGGAAAUGAUGUCCAUUUGGCUCUGCUUUGUCUUUGAGCACCUUCUGUCUUGGCAGCAUCUCUGCUCCUUCAGGAAACAAGGAAGACUGAAAAGUGACUUGAAUCAUAACUGCAGAUGUAAACACCAUUUAUUCUUCUGCUCUGUCUCUUGUCCCCCAGGGAACUGAGCUGCUGUCAGAAAUUAAAGGCAGAUAGUAGUUUCUUGGUUGAUGUGAACUGUUGCAGUCAGUGUUUAAACGUAAUUGGUACUCCUUCAUCCUGCAGGAACAGUCCUCUUGCUGGCUAACACUACCUGUAUGUAUUAUUUUGUGAUCUCUUAAGAGUUCUCAUGAGAUUCUUGUGGUUUUAAUUCCACAGCUGUGAAUAACUGGGUUAGAAAUGUCUAUUUACUAUUUCUAGCUUGCUCUUAUUUCUAUUUGUACCUAAAACUGAAGCUGCCCCAUGUUAAAUUCUAUACCAUGCAGCCUUCUUUUCUCAAAGAACUUCUAAGGUUAAAUGGGAGAUCUGAAUGGCUCUUGGAGAAAAGUAGUAGUGUACCCUUUCACUAAAGAAGAAUCAAACCAGAGCAAAAUGCCAAAAAGUUUG
rnacentral:lncRNA from 13 species